CAAGACGCUCAUCAGAUCCUCCUCACUCCCUUUCCUGCUGUCAGACUGGUUCUUGCUGGGAAGCAGGAAGAGCUCCGCAGCUGUCGGGAGUCCAGGGAAAACAGCCACCAGCAGCUGCUCAGCAGGAAUAUCAGCUAUCUAUAAGAAGAAAAAAGAGGAUCUGAAGGUAAAACAUCUGUCUCCAGAUGAAUCUUCAAAAGCCACCAGAAGUAGGUGAGGGUUCGAGAGUAAGAGGGCCAGACCACUGCAGUCAAAUUCACUUCCUUGUUCUUAAUAACUACAAAUGGAGCUAGCAACUGGAUAUGUUCAACAGGAGCUGAAACACAAACAUGGACAUAUUUAAGACAGUGAAUUCAAGCUCAU